rnacentral:rRNA from 1 species
UACGUAGGGUGCAAGCGUUGUCCGGAAUUAUUGGGCGUAAAGAGCUCGUAGGCGGUUCGUCACGUCGGCUGUGAAAACCUGAGGCUCAACCUCAGGCCUGCAGUCGAUACGGGCGACUUGAGUACUGCAGGGGAGACUGGAAUUCCUGGUGUAGCGGUGAAAUGCGCAGAUAUCAGGAGGAACACCGGUGGCGAAGGCGACUCUCUGGGCUGUAACUGACGCUGAGGCGCGAAAGCUAGGGGAGCAAACAGG